GAUCAUUUUCCAAGAAAAUCAAAAGCUACUAAUUCUUUCCACCAAUAUGGCCGGACUAAACAUGUGUCCAAUUGUGGUUAUUUUGCUUUUGGUGAGUUGCGCACUUCCAACGAUGGCGCAUCUAGAUGACUCGCCGGCCGUGGUUGAGUGCAAAAAACAUUUCAGCAUAAAGUAUGCAUUCGACGUCUACAACUAUAUUUUCAAAGGGAAGAAAAUUGAUGACUUUAGUUGUCGGGCCCUUGUGGCGUUGGGAAGAUGGUGCCAUAAUGUUUUCGUGAACAGCACAUUUACUUAUGAACACACCGGGAACAGAACUGUCAUUCAAGCCAGGGCUGACCGACUAUUUAAUCAUUGUAUAAUUGUAAAUUCCGGGGCACCACCUUCUUCUCUAUCUUAAAUAGAGAAUUUAACAUCUCUAGGGCUAACAAAUUUGUGGGAUGUUUCAUGAGCUAGAAUAAAAUUUCAAUGUAUUUGCAUUAAUGCCUUGUUACUACUUCACUUUGUUGCCUUGAGUUGUAAAGCAUUUUCAAAAUGAUUGGGGAAUUUACAAUAGUAAUAAAACAACUAUCCCG
rnacentral:lncRNA from 1 species